rnacentral:rRNA from 1 species
AACGAACGCUGGCGGCAGGCCUAACACAUGCAAGUCGAGCGCCCAGCAAUGGGAGCGGCAGACGGGAUAGUAACACGUGGGAACGUACCUUUCAGUUCGGAACAACCCAGGGAAACUUGGGCUAAUACCGAAUACGUCCGUAAGGAGAAAGAUUUAUCGCUGAAAGAUCGGCCCGCGUCUGAUUAGCUAGUUGGUGAGGUAAUGGCUCACCAAGGCGACGAUCAGUAGCUGGCUGAGAGGAUGAUCAGCAUCACUGGGACUGAGACACGGCCCAGACUCCUACGGGAGGCAGCAGUGGGGAAUAUUGGACAAUGGGCGCAAGCCUGAUCCAGCCAUGCCGCGUGGAUGAUGAAGGCCUUAAGGGUUGUAAAAUCCUUUCACCGGGGGACGAUAAUGACGGUACCCGGAGAAGAAGCCCCGGCUAACUUCGUGCCAGCAGCCGCCGC